rnacentral:rRNA from 1 species
GAUGAACGCUGGCGGCGUGCCUAAUACAUGCAAGUCGAACGCUGAAGCAGGAGCUUGCUUCUCUGGAUGAUUUCCGAACGGGUGAGUAACGCGUAGGUAACCUGCCUGGUAUCGGGGGGUAACUAUUGGAAACGAUAGCUAAUACCGCAUAAUAUUAGAUGUUCCAUGACAUUUACUUAAAAGGUGCAAUUUCAUCACUACCAGAUGGACCUGCGGUGUAUUAGCUAGUUGGUGGGGUAAAGGCUCACCAAGGCGACGAUACAUAGCCGACCUGAGAGGGUGAUCGGCCAAAAUGGGAACGGAGCAAGGGCCAGACUUCUAAGGGGAGGAGCAGUAGGGGAACUUCGGAAAAGGAGGGAAGUCUGAACGAGGAAAGCCGGGGGGGUGAAGGAGGUUUUCGGAUCGUAAAGCUCUGUUGUAAGGGAAGAAAGAGUGUGAGAGUGAAAAGUUCACACUGUGACGGUAUCUAACCAGAAAGGGACGGCUAACUACGUG